rnacentral:rRNA from 1 species
GACAAACGCUGGCGGCGUGCCUAAGACAUGCAAGUCGAACGGGGGCUUCGGCCCUAGUGGCGGACGGGUGAGGAACGCGUGACUGACCUGCCUUUUGGUGGGGGAUACCACCCAGAAAUGGGUGUUAAGACCGCAUACGAUCGCUGGGGUAGACCUGGUGAGGAAAACCGCAAGGUGCCGAAAGAGGGGGUCGCGUCGGAUUAGCUAGUUGGUGGGGUAAUGGCCUACCAAGGCGAUGAUCCGUAGCUGGUCUGAGAGGACGGCCAGCCACACUGGG